AGGCCGGAGACCACACCCCCGCCACAUAGAUCAUAUCACUACUGUGAGAUAAAAGUGAAAGAGCAGCUCACAGAUCAGUGGGAAGUCACAUCAGGAGAACAUUAAGUAUUUGUAGCAUGUGAUUCCCUUGUGUUUUCAGUCUGUGAAACAGCUGUUUGUCCCUUCACCAGGCAGUGAUGGCAGCAGCAGCGUUCAGGAGCAGAGGACUGGCUGGUGUCAGAAACACCAACGUUUUAAUCCUCAUCUUUCUGCUGUCCCUGGUUUAUGUCACAAAUUCACUGAUGAAAGCAGAAUACAAGAAGAAAGAAGCAAGUGAACUUGAUGAAAAACUACAGUUUCUUCAAUCUUUUGAAGAACUAAUACGGACAUCGUCAGUUUUUGAGGAUUUUCCUGCAAUGAUGGACGUAGUAAAUAGUUUGAGACGCUUCUACAAGAGAACCAUCAUCCCAUCAGACAGAGAGGAAGAAGAAAAAUGGGGAAAAUGGGGAAAUAAAAGAGGAAAACAUGAAAAUCAUCCUAAAACUCAACCAAAUAAACUUUAAAAGUUUCUAUAUAAUAAAUAAUAAUACAAAAUAAAUCAUAAAAUAAUGAUACAUCUCAUCAUUAAAUAUGAUGGUUUUCUGUAAGAGAAAUGACAGCUGUAUGUUGUUUAUGCUGUUCUCACUGGGAAGCAGCUUUUAUUGCAUUUUACAUAAUAGACUGAUAA